rnacentral:lncRNA from 1 species
UGAUAAUUAAUGUCAAGACUUUCUGCAUCUCUGAGGCAAGGAGGCAACACUUCAGAGAAUGAUUCCCUGCCAGAAUGCAAAGAAACUCAAUGAGGUGAACCAAGAUUUAUGUGUUUGUUACCACCAUCUGUGAACAGAAUCAUUGAAGACAACAAAGGGUUGAGGUCAUCAGAGGCUUAGAAGAAGUAGAAGCUGACAUCUACAUCAGGAGACAUGAACCAUCCAGUUGAACGUGCCAGAUACAUGUCUCAACUUUCCAUUUCUUACAAAGGGUCCUCAAUUAAACUGAAUCACAAGAAGUUGGGUCAAUUCAUUCUUUCAGGUGAAAUCUCCAGUGCAGUAAAUGAGAGACAAUGCUCUAAAAAGGAGCAGACUGAAGUCCAACCUGAAAGCGAUAGUACUGCUCAGUCAGUUCUGAAAGGAGAAAAAUGGUGCCAACUCCAGGAGGAAGCUUCAAAAACUGCAGACAUAAAGGAGUGAUAGUAAAAGCCAAAGAAAGAAGGCAGCAAGAAAAUAGCAAAGACAGCAAGCUAGGGAAAUCCAGAAGCAUGGUGCAAUUUAUGACAUGAGG